rnacentral:rRNA from 1 species
UACGAAGGGGGCUAGCGUUGCUCGGAAUCACUGGGCGUAAAGGGCGCGUAGGCGGACUCUUAAGUCGGGGGUGAAAGCCCAGGGCUCAACCCUGGAAUUGCCUUCGAUACUGAGAGUCUUGAGUUCGGAAGAGGUUGGUGGAACUGCGAGUGUAGAGGUGAAAUUCGUAGAUAUUCGCAAGAACACCAGUGGCGAAGGCGGAGAUCUGGGGGGCUAUUGACGCUGAGGUGCGAAAGCGUGGGGAGCAAACAGG